CUAUGCGCCUUGCCAGCCCGCUCAGUCAGAGUUUGAUCCUGGCUCAGGAUGAACGCUAGCGGCAGGCUUAACACAUGCAAGUCGAGGGGCAGCAAGGGUAGCAAUACCUGUUGGCGACCGGCAAACGGGUGCGGAACACGUACGCAAUCUACCUUUAUCUGGGGGCAUAGCCCGAAGAAAUUCGGAUUAACACCCCAUAAAAUAAUAGAGUGGCAUCACUUAAUUAUUAAAACUCCGGUGGAUAGAGAUGAGCGUGCGUCCCAUUAGCUAGUUGGUAGGGUAACGGCCUACCAAGCGACGAUGGGUAGCUGGUGUGAGAGCACGACCAGCCACACGGGCACUGAGACACGGGCCCG
rnacentral:rRNA from 1 species